AAUGGGGUGUGUCAUAGUGGAAUAGCGAUGAAGGCAUUGGAGCAUCGUGGUGAGGUCUCAAUCAGUGUUCUAGUUAUGAAUUUAAAUUUUCCAGGGGAAGUCAAAUCUUUUCCCAUGGCCCUAAUCCAUAAAAACAUGGGAUUUAUUAUCAGUUAAGGCAUUAUAUGCCCUAUUUCCAAAAUUUCUCUUAAAAAUAAACCAUAGAUAUUACUCAAAUUCAUUAAUUUCAUCAAUUAUUACUUCACUAAUACUCAAGAAUUCAAUCUUCA
rnacentral:lncRNA from 1 species